UCACCGGGCUGAGGAUCGAAAACAACCUCUACACGCAGAUCGGUUUGAUCCUACUGAUCGCCUUGUCGGCCAAGAACGCCAUUCUUAUUGUCGAAGUCGCGCUCGAACUCCACGUCCGGGAUCGCAAGCCGCUGCUGGANNNNNNNNCACGGGCGCGUUUCCGGCCAAUCCUGAUGACGUCGUUUGCGUUUAUCCUCGGUGUGGCUCCGCUGGUGUUCGCGACCGGCGCCGGCGCGAGCGCCCGCAAGUCAAUCGGCAUUACCGUAUUCAGCGGAAUGCUCGCUUCGACCUGCCUUGCCGUUCUGUUCGUUCCGACAUUUUUUGUCGUGAUACAGCGGCUCGAGAAUUGGCUCGCCGACCGUAAGGCAAGGAAAGCC
rnacentral:misc_RNA from 1 species